GCAGAUGGCCGGAUGGUCGCCGCCUGCUUUGCAGGGGGAGGAAAGUCCGGGCUCCACGGAAAUGCGAUGCCGGUUAACGGCCGGCGGGGGCGACCCCAGGGAAAGUGCCACAGAAAGCAAACCGCCCGGUUCUCCGGGUAAGGGUGAAAGGGUGCGGUAAGAGCGCACCGCGCCACUGGCAACAGGGGCGGCAUGGUAAACCCCAUCGGGAGCAAAACCAAAUAGGGACGGCCGGUGCAGGUUUUUCGCUGCACAAGCAGGUUUUCCGGGCUUGCCGUCCGGGUUGGUUGCUUGAGAUGUCCGGCAACGGGCAUCCUAGAUGAAUGAUCAUCCCCUGUUUUCAGGGACAGAACCCGGCUUAUGUGCCAUCUGCCUUA
rnacentral:RNase_P_RNA from 1 species